UACGUAGGGUGCGAGCGUUAAUCGGAAUUACUGGGCGUAAAGCGUGCGCAGGCGGCGCGUUAAGACAGGUGUGAAAGCCCCGAGCUUAACUUGGGAAUUGCGCUUGUGACUGGCGUGCUGGAGUGUGGCAGAGGGAGGUGGAAUUCCACGUGUAGCAGUGAAAUGCGUAGAGAUGUGGAGGAGCACCGAUGGCGAAGGCAGGUCUCUGGGCUGACACUGACGCUCAUGCACGAAAGCGUGGGGAGCAAACAGG
rnacentral:rRNA from 1 species